GAUGAACGCUGGCGGCGUGCCUAAUACAUGCAAGUCGAGCGAACGGACGAGAAGCUUGCUUUUCUGAUGUUAGCGGCGGACGGGUGAGUAACACGUGGAUAACCUACCUAUAAGACUGGGAUAACUUCGGGAAACCGGAGCUAAUACCGGAUAAUAUUUUGAACCGCAUGGUUCAAAAGUGAAAGACGGUCUUGCUGUCACUUAUAGAUGGAUCCGCGCUGCAUUAGCUAGUUGGUAAGGUAACGGCUUACCAAGGCAACGAUGCAUAGCCGACCUGAGAGGGUGAUCGGCCACACUGGAGCUGAGACACGGUCCAGGGGCCUACGGGAGGCAGCAGAAGGGAAUCUGCCGCAGUGGGCGAGAGCCUGACGGAGCAACGCCGCGUGAGUGAUGAAGGUCUUCGGAUCGUAAAGCUCGGUUAUGAGUGAAGAACAUAUGUGUAAGUAACUGUGCACAUCUUGACGGUACCUGAUCAGGAAGCCACGGCUAACUACGUG
rnacentral:rRNA from 1 species